UACGAAGGGGGCAAGCGUUGUUCGGAAUUACUUGGCGUAAAGGGCGCGUAGGCGGCUUAUCAAGUCAGGCGUGAAAUUCCCGGGCUCAACCUGGGGGCUGCGCUUGAUACUGAUGAGCUUGAAUGCGGGAGAGGAUAGUGGAAUUCCCAGUGUAGAGGUGAAAUUCGUAGAUAUUGGGAAGAACACCGGUGGCGAAGGCGGCUAUCUGGCCCGUAAUUGACGCUGAGGCGCGAAAGCGUGGGGAGCAAACAGG
rnacentral:rRNA from 1 species